AACGAACGCUGGCGGCAGGCCUAACACAUGCAAGUCGAGCGAGGACUUCGGUUCUAGCGGCGGACGGGUGCGUAACGCGUGGGAAUGUGCCCUUCUCUACGGAAUAGCCCUGGGAAACUGGGAGUAAUACCGUAUACGCCCUAUUGGGGAAAGAUUUAUCGGAGAAGGAUCAGCCCGCGUUGGAUUAGGUAGUUGGUGUGGUAAUGGCCUACCAAGCCGACGAUCCAUAGCUGGUUUGAGAGGAUGAUCAGCCACCCUGGGACUGAGACACGGCCCAGACUCCUACGGGAGGCAGCAGCGGCGAAUGUUAGACAAUGGGGGCAACUCUGCUCAAGCCCUGCCGCGUGAGUGCUGAAGGCAUUAGGGUUGUAAAGCUCUUUCAGCUGGGAAGAUAAUGACGGUACCAGCAGAAGAAGCCCCGGCUAACUCCGUG
rnacentral:rRNA from 1 species